UACGCGCUUACUGGAACAAAAGAAAGUGGCUCUCUGCUUAAAUUGUGAUAAAUAUUGCCGGACAGCGGCUGCAUUUCCUCCCUCCUCCCCCUCCAGCAGCGCGACGAUGCUGAGGGUAAAGCCGCUGCCUUGGUACCCGCUACAUUGUGUCAGGAGUGAAGCCUUGCAGAGGAUGACGCGGUGUAGAUGUGUGAAUUGCAAGGGGAUUCCUGCUUUCUCUCUAAUUUGAUCUGCUCCCCAUAUCUUUUCAGUUAAAAAAAUUCCCCCCCCCCACCCCCACUUUUAAAUCACUCGGGUCAACACUCGCGCCUUGGGGCUCACGUAUGACGAAGGACUACUUGGGGUAUGUGCUGUAGCUGGACAAUACCCAUGGGAUCAUAUCUUACAGGGGUCUACAGCUUCAGAAUAAAUUGGGACAGAAUGCUUGGCAGGAAUUGGUACUAAGGUGGAAAGUAUCUAAUCUUGGAACCUCGCAGUUCAGAAAACAUUUUGGAAAGUCCUGAACACUAAAUGACUCUCUGAGGAGUUGGUGCUACAAAAUCGUGCUGCGA